GUGAGGAAUUUUGCGCAAUGGGGGCAACCCUGACGCAGCGACGCCGCGUGGAGGACGAAGUCUUUCGGGAUGUAAACUCCUGUCAGUGGGGACGAUAAUGACGGUACCCACAGAGGAAGCACCGGCUAACUCCGUGCCAGCAGCCGCGGUAAGACGGAGGGUGCAAGCGUUGUUCGGAAUUACUGGGCGUAAAGCGUACGUAGGCGGCAAGUUAAGUUCAAUGUUAAAGCCCACGGCUCAACCGAGGAGAUGCAUUGAAUACUGGCUAGCUAGAGGGUGUUAGAGGAAGACGGAAUUCCCAGUGUAGCGGUGAAAUGCGUAGAUAUUGGGAGGAACAUCGGUAGCGAAAGCGGUCUUCUGGGACACACCUGACGCUGAGGUACGAAAGCGUGGGGAGCAAACGGGAUUAGAUACCCCGGUAGUCC
rnacentral:rRNA from 1 species